AGCAGGAGGAGGACUGCAGCAAGCUGAGAUCUGUGUCCGUGGACCUGAAUGUCGAUCCCUCGCUUCAGAUUGACAUGCCUGAGCGCUCAGCGAGAGAGAGAAAGUCAAAUUUACAGCGCACACCGGGACCACACUGCCCACGUUUCAGAGCCCAGAGUUUUCUGUCACAAGGCAACUUGAAGACUUUGUGUGGCUACAUGACACUCUUAUUGAAACUACAGAAUAUGCUAGGCUUAUUAUCUCGCCAGCGCCGACCAAGCCCGACUUUGAUGGCCCUUGAGAGAAUAUGCAGAAGCUGGGAGACAGUGAAGGGUCAAUGACGAAAGAAGGAUUUGCCAAGAUGAAGCAAGAGCUAGAAGCUGAGUACCUUGCUGUCUUCAAGAUACUGUGUCUUCGCACGAAGUCUUUCUUCAACGGCUCUCCUUUCACCCUGUUCUCAGUAAAGACCGCAACUUCCGUGUUUUUUUGGAAUAUGAUCAAGAUCUAAGUGUGAGGCGGAAAAAUACCAAAGAGAUGUUUGGUGGCUUUUUUAAAAGUGUGGUGAAAAGUGCUGAUGAAGUUCUUUUUUCAGGAGUUAAGGAGGUAGAUGACUUUUUUGAGCAAGAGAAGACUUUCCUCAUGAACUGUUACAACAGGAUCAAGGAUUCCUGUGCAGAGGCUGACAGGAUUACCAGAUCUCAUAAAAGUGUCCCAGAUGAUGAUAUCCACACCACAGCCUGCUUGCAUAGCCUGGCUUUAAAGGAGCAUACAGUCACCAAGAAGUACCUGUUGAAGGUGGCUGAGCUGUUUGAAAACUUAGGAAAGUGGAGAGUCGACUCUCCUGAUGAAGACUUGAAGCUCCUACAAUACUACAUGCUCUACACAGAGGCUGCCAAGGAUCUCUCAUAGAGACGCACCAAAGCCCGCAUCAACUGUGAGAACUCAAACACAGCGCUGGAUGAGGCCCGGUUAAAGAGCAAAGAUGUCAAGCUGGCCGAGGCACACCAGCAGGAAUGCUGCUGGAAGUUUAUAACAGCUCUCUGAAUCUGCAAAAGAAGAGCUAAUCAAUUUCAAACGGAAGAGAGUGGCAGCGUUUCAGAAGAAUCUGUUUGAAACGUCUGAACUGGAAAUAAAGCCUGUCCCUCCUGCAAAGCUGCGUCCACCUGUAAGAACAACUGAGUGAAGGACUGGAUGUGAAGAAAGCCAGCAUCACUUGCACUCAAAUCAUUACCACAGAAGAUUUGAUUUAUCUUGACUUCAGUUUAAAAUUAUGUGCAUACGUAUUUUGAUUUCUAAAGAUCUUAACACUUAACCAUGUUGGUUUAAAAAUAGUUCUAUUGCAUGCUCCUUGGACAUAACUAAUCUUGAUGCAGUUAAUACCUCAGUGGGUAGUAUCUGAAGUACUGUGUUCUCCUCUAAUUUGUAGUGAUGAAGAAAGGGUGCAGAAUCACGUGCCUUCUGGAGCGAGUGUAAUCAGCAGGGGACCCGCACAUGUCAUCUCAAGUUUCACGUGGCCGGGUCCCUGUAAUUUAGGGUAGGUGCCUGUUAAUAGCAGAUGAGUCAGCUACUCGUUACAGGUAACAGACAUUCCAUCCCUUUAUCAAGUGAUUUUCCCCUUUCUUACUCUCACUGAUUGAUAGUCACCUUCAGUUGUUUGUACUAUAA